rnacentral:rRNA from 1 species
UGGGGAAUAUUGGACAAUGGGCGAAAGCCUGAUCCAGCCAUGCCGCGUGUGUGAAGAAGGUCUUCGGAUUGUAAAGCACUUUAAGUUGGGAGGAAGGGCAGUAAGCGAAUACCUUGCUGUUUUGACGUUACCGACAGAAUAAGCACCGGCUAACUCUGUGCCAGCAGCCGCGGUAAUACAGAGGGUGCAAGCGUUAAUCGGAAUUACUGGGCGUAAAGCGCGCGUAGGUGGUUCGUUAAGUUGAAUGUGAAAGCCCCGGGCUCAACCUGGGAACUGCAUCCAAAACUGGCGAGCUAGAGUAGGGCAGAGGGUGGUGGAAUUUCCUGUGUAGCGGUGAAAUGCGUAGAUAUAGGAAGGAACACCAGUGGCGAAGGCGACCACCUGGGCUCAUACUGACACUGAGGUGCGAAAGCGUGGGGAGCAGACAGG